GCUGAGUCUAUUAUUAUAUAUGAUAGUGAUUGGAAUCCACAGUGUGAUUUACAGGCCCAGGAUAGAUGUCAUAGGAUCGGACAAACUCGUCCGGUGGUUGUUUAUAGGUUUGUGACAGCUAAUACCAUCGACCAGAAAAUAGUAGAAAGGGCGGGAGCUAAACGAAAACUAGAAAAAAUGGUCAUACAGAAAGGUAAAUUUAAGAAUGGUAUAACAGCAUUUACAACCGAUGUAAAACCAAUCAGUCCAGAAGAAUUAUUGGAACUGUUAAAAUCUCAGGAUCAUUCUUCUAUCAUGAGUGGGAAAGAAGGCUCUCAGAUAGACCAGUCAGAUUUAGAUGUACUAUUAGAUAGAUCCGAUCUUUAUGAAAAAUGGGAGGCGAAAAAACAAAAUAACGGUAAAAAGAAGACAACGAAAUCAAAGAAAAAGCAAACCAAGAAAGAAGUGGAAGGAAAAUUCUUCAAAGUUGUAGAUAUUUAUGAUGAUGAUGACGACAGCCGUUCAAGUACGGGAUCUGGAACUUCUAAGAAACAAUGUUAAUACUUUUAUUACCAUGAGUAAAAUACAAAACAGUGCUAAAUACAAAAUAGGAUUUGUAUACUAGAGGCAGAUAGUGUAGACAUUUGUUAAGAUUUUUUAUUUUAUCAAACAUUUUUAGAAGACUGACUUUUUUCUUUUUUUAAGAGAAUAACAGAAGUUUUCAAAGGAUAAAUGUGGAUAUGACUAAUAUGGUCGUUCUAGUUCAUGACAAAAUGGUGUGAUGAUACAUAGAACCAAAAUAAAACAGUGCUAUCUAGACAGGAAUUGAGAGAUAAUACUCUCCAAUUUAAAGUAGUUGUAUACAUUGAUGUCGACCGCGUCCAAUAAGUUAUCUCUCUUUGUUACAAAAUCUUAUUUUAUGGGGUUAACUGUUACCUGAUAACUGAUGGGUAUGCGUAGUGUUGCCUGGCAACGUAUGUUUUUGAUAUAUGUUUUGUUAAUGUAAGAUUAUGCAUAUGUAAAUACAGAUAGUUUGAAAACCUUGCCAAGUACAGUAUUGUGAAUGUUGAAUCUCUAAAUUCCAAUUAAAACCGAGCGGAGAGAUUAUCUUCAAUGUAUGUUUUCGUUUCUUGAUAAUCGAUCCGAGUACAUUUAGCAUGAAAAUUUGAUAUUUUCUGAAAAAUGGGAAUUAUAAUCAGACACUUUAAAUCAUAGGUAAUAUAGAAUUGUCUGAGUAUAUAUAUAUUAAAUCUUUACUUCAUAAGGCCAUACAAGAAAAAUAUUCUGGUUUUCAGACAGUCCUUAACAAAAAUCUGAUGAGGGAGGUUUUUUUUGUGUUUUUAUUUUGUAAAAGUAUCACUACUUGGUUAAAUGACUUCUAUAUGCAUCAAAUUGUUGUUUAUAGGAAUGUAUGAUUAUCCAGUAUCAUUUAUGAUUGUCAUCGACAUUUAUUUGGUGACUUGUGUCCUGGAUAAAUGAGCCUAUGGAUUCAUUCAAUUUUUAUAGGAAUGUAUGAUUAUCCAGUAUCAUUUAUCUCAUUUUGUUUAUAGGAAUGUAUGAUUAUCCAGUAUCAUUUAUCUCAUGUUGUAUAUAGGAAUGUAUGAUUAUCCAGUAUCAUUUAUCUCAUGUUGUAUAUUGGAAUGUAUAAUUAUCCAGUAUCACUUAUCUCAUGUUGUUUAUAGGAAUGUAGGAUUAUCCAGUAUCAUUUAUCUCAUCAUGUUGUUUAUAGGAAUGUAGGAUUAUCCAGUAUCAUUUAUAAUUGUCAUUAACAUUUAUUAGGGUUGUGUACCUGAUAAAUGAGCCUAUGUCAACAUUUCUGGAUUCAUUAAAAAAUUUGUGCGGUAAUUAUAAGAAGACUGUCGAGAGUCCCUUUUUGAGUGACGGUUGUACGUGACAAGGAGUAGGGUUGCCUGUCCAACCUCGUGGGUUUUCUCCUGCUGCUAUAGACCCCUAUGCGCAAAUGAAUUAUUGAAAUAAAAUUGAACCAUAUGUUAGUCCCGAAAUUACCUAGUUUAAGUGAUAUAGGAUUAUCUGAGACUGAGAACCACAAUAUUUUUUUGAUAUGACCUAACUGAUCAAGCUGUGCCAUUGAAAGAUUAAGAGAUGUAUCUAUAUAAAACUUGUCUACAAGAAGAUUAAGAUUAUAUAAUAUGUAUGGAUGACAUUUUAUAAAUUGUUUUCUCUUUAAAUAUACAUUAAUAAAUUCUGUUAAAUCUUA